rnacentral:rRNA from 1 species
GACAGAGGGUGCAAACGUUGUUCGGAAUUACUGGGCGUAAAGCGCGUGUAGGCGGCCUCGCAAGUCGGAUGUGAAAGCCCUCGGCUCAACCGGGGAAGUGCAUUCGAAACUGCAAGGCUAGAGUCCCGGAGAGGAUAGUGGAAUUCUCGGUGUAGAGGUGAAAUUCGUAGAUAUCGGGAGGAACACCUGUGGCGAAGGCGGCCAUCUGGACGUCAACUGACGCUGAGACGCGAAAGCAUGGGGAGCAAACAGG